UACGGAGGGAGCUAGCGUUGUUCGGAAUUACUGGGCGUAAAGCGCACGUAGGCGGCUUUGUAAGUUAGAGGUGAAAGCCCGGGGCUCAACCCCGGAAUUGCCUUUAAGACUGCAUCGCUUGAAUCCGGGAGAGGUGAGUGGAAUUCCGAGUGUAGAGGUGAAAUUCGUAGAUAUUCGGAAGAACACCAGUGGCGAAGGCGGCUCACUGGACCGGUAU
rnacentral:rRNA from 1 species